UGUGUAGGCGGUUCUUUAAGUUUGCUGUGAAAUCUCCCGGCUUAACCCGGGAGGGUGCGGUGAAUACUGAGGGACUAGAGUACGGGAGAGGAAAGUGGAAUUCCUGGUGUAGCGGUGAAAUGCGUAGAUAUCAGGAGGAACGCCGGUGGUGUAGACGGCUUUCUGGACCGUAACUGGCGCUGAGACACGAAAGCGUGGGUAGCAAACA
rnacentral:rRNA from 1 species